UAAAAGACUAUGAUGGAGAAAAGUAGAUUAGACCCAGUUUUUUCAGGGAGAAGGUGUCAUCGACUGAAAGCACCUUUAAAACAUGAUUAAUCGAAGUUCACUCCUGAGUCACUAGUUGAAAGCCUUAAUGGUGAAUAGACAGGGUCGUAUAUUCUCUACGUUACAAGAGAAGGGGUAUCGGAAUAGUUAUUUCCCGUAUCUUAUUUGAGAGGUUCUGUUUAUUAACAGAACAAUUAAGGUGGUAACGCGAUAAGCUAAAGCUUUUCGUCCUUUGG
rnacentral:ncRNA from 1 species